UACGAAGGGGGCUAGCGUUGCUCGGAAUUACUGGGCGUAAAGGGCGCGUAGGCGGCCACCGAAAGUCGACUGUGAAAUCUCCGGGCUUAACCCGGAAAGGUCAGCCGAUACUGCGGGGCUAGAGUGCAGAAGGGGCAACUGGAAUUCUCGGUGUAGCGGUGAAAUGCGUAGAUAUCGAGAGGAACACCUGCGGCGAAGGCGGGUUGCUGGGCUGACACUGACGCUGAGGCGCGAAAGCUAGGGGAGCGAACGGG
rnacentral:rRNA from 1 species